GUUAUAUGGUCAAGUGAAGAAGCGCAUACGGUGGAUGCCUUGGCAGUCAGAGGCGAUGAAAGACGUGGUAGCCUGCGAUAAGCUUCGGGGAGUCGGCAAACAGACUUUGAUCCGGAGAUCUCUGAAUGGGGGAACCCACCUGGCAUAAGUCAGGUAUCUUGUACUGAAUACAUAGGUGCAAGAGGCGAACCAGGGGAACUGAAACAUCUAAGUACCCUGAGGAAAAGAAAUCAACCGAGAUUCCCUUAGUAGUGGCGAGCGAACGGGGACUAGCCCUUAAGUGGCUUUGAGAUUAGCGGAACGCUCUGGAAAGUGCGGCCAUAGUGGGUGAUAGCCCUGUACGCGAAAAUCUCUUAGUCAUGAAAUCGAGUAGGACGGAGCACGAGAAACUUUGUCUGAAUAUGGGGGGACCAUCCUCCAAGGCUAAAUACUACUGACUGACCGAUAGUGAACCAGUACCGUGAGGGAAAGGCGAAAAGAACCCCGGAGAGGGGAGUGAAAUAGAUCCUGAAACCGUAUGCGUACAAGCAGUGGGAGCCUACUUUGUUAGGUGACUGCGUACCUUUUGUAUAAUGGGUCAGCGACUUAUAUUCAGUGGCGAGCUUAACCGAAUAGGGGAGGCGUAGCGAAAGCGAGUCUUAAUAGGGCGUUUAGUCGCUGGGUAUAGACCCGAAACCGGGCGAUCUAUCCAUGGGCAGGUUGAAGGUUAGGUAACACUGACUGGAGGACCGAACCGACUACCGUUGAAAAGUUAGCGGAUGACCUGUGGAUCGGAGUGAAAGGCUAAUCAAGCUCGGAGAUAGCUGGUUCUCCUCGAAAGCUAUUUAGGUAGCGCCUCAUGUAUCACUGUAGGGGGUAGAGCACUGUUUCGGCUAGGGGGUCAUCCCGACUUACCAAACCGAUGCAAACUCCGAAUACCUACAAGUGCCGAGCAUGGGAGACACACGGCGGGUGCUAACGUCCGUCGUGAAAAGGGAAACAACCCAGACCGUCAGCUAAGGUCCCAAAGUUAUGGUUAAGUGGGAAACGAUGUGGGAAGGCUUAGACAGCUAGGAGGUUGGCUUAGAAGCAGCCACCCUUUAAAGAAAGCGUAAUAGCUCACUAGUCGAGUCGGCCUGCGCGGAAGAUGUAACGGGGCUCAAACCAUACACCGAAGCUACGGGUAUCACUUAGGUGAUGCGGUAGAGGAGCGUUCUGUAAGCCUGUGAAGGUGAGUUGAGAAGCUUGCUGGAGGUAUCAGAAGUGCGAAUGCUGACAUGAGUAACGACAAUGGGAGUGAAAAACUCCCACGCCGAAAGACCAAGGUUUCCUGCGCAACGUUAAUCGACGCAGGGUUAGUCGGUCCCUAAGGCGAGGCUGAAAAGCGUAGUCGAUGGAAAACAGGUUAAUAUUCCUGUACUUCUGGUUAUUGCGAUGGAGGGACGGAGAAGGCUAGGCCAGCUUGGCGUUGGUUGUCCAAGUUUAAGGUGGUAGGCUGAGAUCUUAGGUAAAUCCGGGAUCUUAAGGCCGAGAGCUGAUGACGAGUUGCCAUUAGGCGACGAAGUGGUUGAUGCCAUGCUUCCAAGAAAAGCUUCUAAGCUUCAGGUAACCAGGAACCGUACCCCAAACCGACACAGGUGGUUGGGUAGAGAAUACCAAGGCGCUUGAGAGAACUCGGGUGAAGGAACUAGGCAAAAUGGCACCGUAACUUCGGGAGAAGGUGCGCCGGUGAGGGUGAAGGACUUGCUCCGUAAGCUCAUGCCGGUCGAAGAUACCAGGCCGCUGCGACUGUUUAUUAAAAACACAGCACUCUGCAAACACGAAAGUGGACGUAUAGGGUGUGACGCCUGCCCGGUGCCGGAAGGUUAAUUGAUGGGGUUAGCUAACGCGAAGCUCUUGAUCGAAGCCCCGGUAAACGGCGGCCGUAACUAUAACGGUCCUAAGGUAGCGAAAUUCCUUGUCGGGUAAGUUCCGACCUGCACGAAUGGCGUAACGAUGGCGGCGCUGUCUCCACCCGAGACUCAGUGAAAUUGAAAUCGCUGUGAAGAUGCAGUGUAUCCGCGGCUAGACGGAAAGACCCCGUGAACCUUUACUAUAGCUUUGCACUGGACUUUGAAUUUGCUUGUGUAGGAUAGGUGGGAGGCUUUGAAGCGUGGACGCCAGUCUGCGUGGAGCCAUCCUUGAAAUACCACCCUGGCAACUUUGAGGUUCUAACUCAGGUCCGUUAUCCGGAUCGAGGACAGUGUAUGGUGGGUAGUUUGACUGGGGCGGUCUCCUCCUAAAGAGUAACGGAGGAGUACGAAGGUGCGCUCAGACCGGUCGGAAAUCGGUCGUAGAGUAUAAAGGCAAAAGCGCGCUUGACUGCGAGACAGACACGUCGAGCAGGUACGAAAGUAGGUCUUAGUGAUCCGGUGGUUCUGUAUGGAAGGGCCAUCGCUCAACGGAUAAAAGGUACUCCGGGGAUAACAGGCUGAUACCGCCCAAGAGUUCAUAUCGACGGCGGUGUUUGGCACCUCGAUGUCGGCUCAUCACAUCCUGGGGCUGAAGCCGGUCCCAAGGGUAUGGCUGUUCGCCAUUUAAAGUGGUACGCGAGCUGGGUUUAGAACGUCGUGAGACAGUUCGGUCCCUAUCUGCCGUGGACGUUUGAGAUUUGAGAGGGGCUGCUCCUAGUACGAGAGGACCGGAGUGGACGAACCUCUGGUGUUCCGGUUGUCACGCCAGUGGCAUUGCCGGGUAGCUAUGUUCGGAAGAGAUAACCGCUGAAAGCAUCUAAGCGGGAAACUUGCCUCAAGAUGAGAUCUCACUGGAGCCUUGAGCUCCCUGAAGGGCCGUCGAAGACUACGACGUUGAUAGGUUGGGUGUGUAAGCGCUGUGAGGCGUUGAGCUAACCAAUACUAAUUGCCCGUGAGGCUUGACCAUAUAACACCCAAGCAAUU
rnacentral:rRNA from 4 species